UACGGGGGGGGCAAGCGUUGUUCGGAAUUACUGGGCGUAAAGGGCUCGUAGGCGGCCAACUAAGUCAGACGUGAAAUCCCUCAGCUUAACUGGGGAACUGCGUCUGAUACUGGAUGGCUUGGAUCCGGAAGAGGGAUGCGGAAUUCCAGGUGUAGCGGUGAAAUGCGUAGAUAUCUGGAGGAACACCGGUGGCGAAGGCGGCAUCCUGGGCCGGUAUUGACGCUGAGGAGCGAAAGCCAGGGGAGCAAACGGG
rnacentral:rRNA from 1 species